rnacentral:rRNA from 1 species
GGAGCACGUGGUUAAUUCGAAGCAACGCGAAGAACCUUACCAGGUCUUGACAUCCCGAUGCUAUUUCUAGAGAUAGAAAGUUACUUCGGUACAUCGGUGACAGGUGGUGCAUGGUUGUCGUCAGCUCGUGUCGUGAGAUGUUGGGUUAAGUCCCGCAACGAGCGCAACCCCUAUUGUUAGUUGCCAUCAUUCAGUUGGGCACUCUAGCGAGACUGCCGGUAAUAAACCGGAGGAAGUGGGGAUGACGUCAAAUCAUCAUGCCCCUUAUGACCUGGGCUACACACGUGCUACAAUGGUUGGUACAACGAGUUGCGAGUCGGUGACGGCGAGCUAAUCUCUUAAAGCCAAUCUCAGUUCGGAUUGUAGGCUGCAACUCGCCUACAUGAAGUCGGAAUCGCUAGUAAUCGCGGAUCAGCACGCCGUGGUGAAUACGUUCCCGGGCCUU